rnacentral:rRNA from 1 species
UUAUCCUUUGUUGCCAGCGAGUAAUGUCGGGAACUCAAAGGAGACUGCCGGUGAUAAACCGGAGGAAGGUGGGGAUGACGUCAAGUCAUCAUGGCCCUUACGAGUAGGGCUACACACGUGCUACAAUGGCAUAUACAAAGAGAAGCAAACUCGCGAGAGCAAGCGGACCUCAUAAAGUAUGUCGUAGUCCGGAUUGGAGUCUGCAACUCGACUCCAUGAAGUCGGAAUCGCUAGUAAUCGUAGAUCAGAAUGCUACGGUGAAUACGUU